CAUGAAUAUACUUUGAUGGAAAUUCUAUGGACAUUUUCAAUAUAUUUGGAAUCCGUAGCUAUUCUUCCACAGCUGUUUAUGGUUAGCAAAACCGGAUAAGCUGAAUCCAUUACUAGUCACUAUCUGUUUGCUCUUGGUUCAUAUCGUGCUCUUUAUUUAUUAGACUGGAUUC